AGGGUUAUAAUUUAAACUAAAAUAUUUGGUUUGCAUUCAAAAAAUAUACUUACUUUAACCCUU
rnacentral:tRNA from 1 species